CGGUCACGUUCGUUGCAUUCAUUUAUAAUAGUAAGUAUAAUAAUAUAUAAACACAAAUUAUAUAAAUAAUAUAAUACGUUCACUUUAAAUCUCUUACGAGCAGAACAGUAAUAAUAUUAAUAAAAUAUAAUAUAAGUGAAUAAUAUAUAUUAAAUAUAUUACAUAUAUAUUUUAAUCUGAAACGCAAUUAAGCAGACAGAUCACUCCACGAACUAAGAACGGCCAUGCACCACCUAUCAUACAAUCAUGAAAGGACUAUCAUUUUUAUGUAUAUAAUAUAUAUAAUAAAUAUAUAUUUUAUAUACUAUCGCCUGUCAAUCCUCGAUAUGUCUGGACCUGGUAAGAUUUCCCGCGUUGGGUCAAAUUAAGCCACAUGCUCCACGCGUUCUUGUGGUGCCCUU
rnacentral:rRNA from 1 species